AGGGAAUCACCCCAGGGCUCAGCCACUUGUCCCUCCUGACUUUUGAAACGGCAUUUCUGGGGCAGUAGGGCUCCUGAGCCACUGCCCUAACCCUAAGUUGUCCCUACUGACAGCAGAUAUGUGACCUGGUUGCAAGAGACACGUGUUUGAGCUCAGGGUCCCUCUCACUUUUUGGAACACCCCUCACGGGAUUGCUGCCACUUUCUUCUACUGGGAGAACAUCCUAGAGGCUUCUCUGAGAAAGGAGGGGAGAUCUGGACACAGAGAGAAGGAGAGAAGUUGGCCACGUGAACACGAGGCAGGGAUGGCAGGUAAGCAGCUGCAAGAUAAGGAGCUGCUGGAAGCUAAAGGAGGCAGGAAGGACCCUCCGGAGCAUCCAGAGGUAGCAGGGCCCUGCUGACCCCCGGUUUCACACUUCUGGCCUCCGGGACUGCGAGAGAGUAAAUUUCCUGUUCUUUUAAGCCACCAAGUCGGUGUUAAUUUGUUGCAGUUGUCCUAGGAAACCGAGAGGAAUUUCCAGAAAUGAAAAAUAUAGUCUUUGUCAUAUCUCUACAAAGUUUACAGAAAAGCUUGCCAACCCCCUGCCCUAGAGCCUGGUGGUCAGAGGCAUCCGAGGACCCCUUGUCACAACCCUGUGGUCCCCUGGUGUCUGAGACUCACGAGUGGGCACCACUGAUGUAGAGAAGGGGUGGUCACUCCGAAUGCCCCCCAGGAGCCGGAAGUCAAGGUGGACCGAGGGGACCAAGGCCGACCGGAGCGGCCAAGCAGGAUGCAGCGUGCAGAAUGCAGUCUCAUAUUUAUCAAACGG
rnacentral:lncRNA from 1 species